GGCUGGUCUGAAGGUAGUGAGUUAAUUUAAUUGAUUGUUCACAGUCAGUUACAGAUCAAACUCCUUGUUCUACUCUUUCCCCGCUUCUCACUACUGCACUUGACUAGUCUUUA
rnacentral:Y_RNA from 1 species